GGAGUUUGGACCGUGUCUCAGUUCCAAUGUGGGGGACCUUCCUCUCAGAACCCCUACCGAUCGUCGCCUAGGUGGGCCCUUACCCCGCCUACUAGCUAAUCCCGUUUGGGCUCAUCUAUCAGCUAAUGGUCUUGCGAUCCCAUUACUUUCCUCCUCAGAGCGUACGCGGUCUUAUCAACCGUUUCCAGUUGCUAUCCCCCUCUGAUAGGUAGAUUCCCAAAUAUUACUCACCCGUCCGCCACUCGUCAUCAAAAGUAUUGCUACUUCCAUGUUACCGUUCGACUUGCAUGUAUUAGGCCUGCCGCCAGCGUUCAAU
rnacentral:rRNA from 1 species